rnacentral:lncRNA from 1 species
UUUUGGGACUGCUCAUUAGUGCUAGAAAGUGGUAAUAUUAGAAUAUACCCCGUUUAGAGCAGCAGUCAUUAAGUAAAUUAUUUUGACAUGGUAAUACUUGAAAUCCUAAGAGAUUACACCACAGUUAACAAAGUAUUAGCUACAAACAAAAGCAAACCAGCAUAUAAGAGACUACCUACUGUGUUUAACCUCUUACGGAAUGAUAAACGUGAGAACUCUAAAGGAAAAAACGGCCAUCUAUAGAGUCCCUUUUCGGAACUUAGAUGAAAAUACAGAUGAGAUAUACAUAGAUGCUACGGCAAGAAAUCUUAAGGAUAGACUUAAAGAGCAUGCCAGUGAUAUUAAGGGUGCCAGCUUGACAACGGCUCUAGCAAAAAGAGCUUAUGAAGCCAAUAUUAGUGUCGAUUGGGAAUAAGCCCAAGUAAUCAAACAGGUAAACUGUGCACAGGAGCUACAGAUGGCGGAAAGCCUACAGAUCUACAAACAUAAAAGGCAGCACAUACUUGCUAAUAACAAACAGCCGUCUGCACUGCCAAGACCUUGGAUGUAUCUAUUAGAUAAUUCCGGCGGCCAGCCAUACAGCACCUUAAUAGAAUGCUAACUUGAAAGAGAGACCCAUUGGCAUCUAAAAAUCUUAAAUGUUUUUAGAGAAGAAAGACUUGAACUGUUAUUAUUUUAUUCUAUUUUAUUUAAUUUUGUUAUAUCAUAUUCUUGUUUCUAAUAGAGCUUAUGUUAUCCUUCAGAUAUUAAUUUGUACCAGUUGUAACUUCUUGAAUUUAUGCAAUAUAUUAUAUCUCAGUAUAAAAUCUUCAAACAAGCACUGUAGCAAAG